rnacentral:rRNA from 1 species
AUUGAACGCUGGCGGCAUGCUUUACGCAUGCAAGUCGAACGGUAACAGGCCGCAAGGUGCUGACGAGUGGCGAACGGGUGAGUAAUGCAUCGGAACGUGCCCAGUCGUGGGGGAUAACUACUCGAAAGAGUAGCUAAUACCGCAUACGAUCUAUGGAUGAAAGCGGGGGACCGUAAGGCCUCGCGCGAUUGGAGCGGCCGAUGUCAGAUUAGGUAGUUGGUGGGGUAAAGGCUCACCAAGCCAACGAUCUGUAGCUGGCCUGAGAGGACGACCAGCCACACUGGGACUGAGACACGGCCCAGACUCCUACGGGAGGCAGCAGUGGGGAAUUUUGGACAAUGGGCGCAAGCCUGAUCCAGCAAUGCCGCGUGCAGGAAGAAGGCCUUCGGGUUGUAAACUGCUUUUGUACGGAACGAAACGGCUCUGGUUAAUACCCGGGGCUAAUGACGGUACCGUAAGAAUAAGCACCGGCUAACUACGUG